rnacentral:rRNA from 1 species
ACUGAACGCUGGCGGCGUGCCUAAUACAUGCAAGUCGAACGAGUGGCGGACGGGGGAGUAAUGUAUGGGGAUCUGCCCGAUCGAGCGGGAUAACUACUGGAAACGGCGGCUAAUACCGCAUACUAUCGGAUGAACCCAUAUGGGAUUAGCUAGUAGUUGGGGUAAAGGCUCACCUAGGCGACGAUGUUGAGCUGGUCUGAGAGAGUGAUAGGCCAGACUGGGACUGAGACACGGCCCAUACUGCUACGGGAGGCAGCAGUGGGGAAUAUUGCGAGAUUGGCGAUAGCCUGAUGAAGCCAUGCCGCGAAUAUGAAGAAGGCCUUGGGGUUGUAAAGUUCUUUCAGCAGGGAAGCGUUACCCGCAGAAGAAGCACCGGCUAACUCCGUGCCAGCAGCCGCGGUAAUUC